rnacentral:rRNA from 1 species
AUGGGCGAGAGAGUAUGUGCCAGCGAUCUUGUCAGAGUCUACAAGGGCGAAAGGCGGAGCGGGGUUCAGCCUCUACCACGUCGCGGGCAGAUAAAGCUGAGGAUUGCGCACAUCGUCGCUUCGGCGCUCCAGGACUACGUCGCAACUACCUGUUCUGGAUCACAAGUGAAUGUCAGUGACUCUGUACAUGUUAGGAUUUGUUGUAAACCGUCCCCCCNNNNNCACAUCAUGGUGUGGGCUUCAUAG